rnacentral:rRNA from 1 species
GACGAACGCUGGCGGCGUGCUUAACACAUGCAAGUCGAACGGAAAGGCCCUGCUUUUGUGGGGUGCUCGAUUGGCGAACGGGUGAGUAACACGUGAGUAACCUGCCCUUGACUUUGGGAUAACUUCAGGAAACUGGGGCUAAUACCGGAUAGGAGCUCCUGCUGCAUGGUGGGGGUUGGAAAGUUUCGGCGGUUGGGGAUGGACUCGCGGCUUAUCAGCUUGUUGGUUGGGUAGUGGCUUACCAAGGCUUUGACGGGUAGCCGGCCUGAGAGGGUGACCGGCCACAUUGGGACUGAGAUACGGCGCAGACUCCUACGGGAGGCAGCAGUGGGGAAUAUUGCACAAUGGGCGGAAGCCUGAUGCAGAAACGCCGCGUGCGGGAUGACGGCCUUCGGGUUGUAAACCGCUUUCGCCUGUGACGAAGCGGGAGUGACGGUAAUGGGUAAAGAAGCACCGGCUAACUACGUG